AGUGGGCGGGACAGGGGGGUGGGGCCUAAGGGGCGGGGCCAGCAAGGGAGGUGAGGGAGGUGCAGAAGGGGACUGGCGCAGGCAGGGUGGCUUUGCAGGGCAGCUUUCGAGGUUCUUCUGCUCCAAGAUAUUCCGGGAAGCCUGCGAAUUUAAAGGAUACAGCCCACCUUCCUGGGGAAACCUCCAGUGAGAUUAGAACUGCGUGGCUCCCCUCGGGCACGCACAGUGAAGUCCACCCCGAUCGUGUUCUGCUGUGCCUCCGUGUAGACCCCGGACUUGAAAUGCUGCACAACACACGUCUUGCCCACGUUGGAAUCCCCAAUGAGGAUAAUCUUGAACAAAUAGUCAAAGUUCUCAUCCGCUGCCCUGGCUGAGCUGGAGAAUUGCAUGGCUCUUGCCACCUAGGAUCAAGGAAGAAAAGAAGGAAUUUAGCCUAUCUUUAGUGAACGCUACUGGUGGCCACGAACUUAUUCUUGGCACUCAGGAUUCAGGACAGCACAAGACAGAGGAAGGUCACUGCUUUCCUGGCACAGAGAUCCUUGUGGGAGGAGAAGGACAUUAAUUACUGGUCA